UACGUUCCCGGGCCUUGUACACACCGCCCGUCACGUCACGAAAGUCGGUAACACCCGAAGCCGGUGGCCCAACCCGUAAGGGAGGGAGCUGUCGAAGGUGGGACUGGCGAUUGGGACG
rnacentral:rRNA from 1 species